rnacentral:rRNA from 1 species
AAACGCUGGCGGCGUGCCUAACACAUGCAAGUCGAACGGGCUUCCGACGGGGGUAACCCUGUUGGAAAGUCAGUGGCGGACGGGUGAGUAACGCGUUGGUAACGUACCCCCUUGUAUGGAAUAACCACUCGAAAGGGUGUCUAAUACCGUAUGAGUUCCUGUAAAGGCAUCUUUACGGGAGGAAAGGAUUUAUUCGCAAGGGGAGCGGCCUACGUCCUAUCAGCUAGUUGGUGAGGUAAUGGCUCACCAAGGCGACGACGGGUAGCUGGUCUGAGAGGACGAUCAGCCACACUGGGACUGAGACACGGCCCAGACUCCUACGGGAGGCAGCAGUGAGGAAUAUUGCACAAUGGGCGAAAGCCUGAUGCAGCGACGCCGCGUGAGGGAUGAAGGCCUUCGGGUUGUAAACCUCUGUCAGUGGGGAAGAGGAAGGACGGUACCCGCUGAGGAAGCCUCGGCUAACUACGUGCCAGCAGCCGCGGUAAGACGUAGGGGGCGAGCGUUGUCCGGAAUUACUGGGUGUAAAGAGCUCGUAGGCGGGACCAUAAGUCCAGGGCAAAAUACCAUGGCUCAACUGUGGUGUGAUCCUGGAAACUGUGGUUCUUGAGGACUGGAGAGGAAAGUGGAAUUCCCGGUGUACGGUGAAAUGCGUAGAUAUCGGGAGGAACACCAGUGGCGAAGGCGACUUUCUGGCCAGUUCCUGACGCUGAGGAGCGAAAGCUGGGGGAGCGAACGGGAUUAGAUACCCCGGUAGUCCCAGCCGUAAACGAUGGACACUAGGUGUAGGUGGUGUCGUGCCAUCUGUGCCGCAGGUAACCCAUUAAGUGUCCCACCUGGGGAGUACGAUCGCAAGGUUGAAACUCAAAGGAAUUGACGGGGGCCCGCACAAGCGGUGGAGCAUGUGGUUUAAUUCGACGAUACGCGAAGAACCUUACCAGGGUUUGACAUUCACAUGAUCACAGCAGAGAUGCUGUUUUCGGAUUUACUUUCGACAUGUGAACAGGUGCUGCAUGGCUGUCGUCAGCUCGUGCUGUGAGGUGUUGGGUUAAGUCCCGCAACGAGCGCAACCCUUAUUCUUAGUUGCCAUCAGGUAAUGCUGGGCACUCUAGGGAGACUGCCCGGGUCGACCGGGAGGAAGGUGGGGAUGACGUCAAGUCAGCAUGGCCCUUAUGUCCUGGGCUACACACGUGCUACAAUGGCCGGUACAAUGGGCUGCGAGAGCGCAAGCUUAAGCGAAUCCCUUAAAGCCGAUCUCAGUUCGGAUUGAAGGCUGAAAUUCGCCUUCAUGAAGUUGGAAUCGCUAGUAACCGCAGAUCAGCUACGCUGCGGUGAAUACGUUCCCGGGCCUUGUACACACCGCCCGUCACGCCACGAAAGCUGGUUGUACCCGAAGGCGCUGAGGAAGCGUCGAAGGUGUGGCUGGUGAUUGGGACGAAGUCGUAACAAGGUA